AUUUUAAUGAAGAGAAUACACUAGAAGAUGACUGUACUAUAUUCUCAUAAGCCUGAUUCCAAAUCAAACCCAUAGGGACACACGCCACUCUUCCAAAUCAAUGCCUCAGCUCCUGUGUUUGCUCUGUCAGUCUCCAGGGAAGCCCCUUGGGCCACAUGGUUCAGCUUCUACUCAGGCUUUGCUGGUGUUUUGAGUGGUUUCAGCUAUUGUUUCAGCUGCCUGGUUCCAGAAAGCCAAAACAUCUUGCAGUAAAACUCUGAGGACAGAGGGCCUGAGAAAUUCCAUUAAAUACUCUACCUCAGGAGAAAAGAUCUUAGGGCUG